CUUUCCCCGGUGUUCUUUUCGUCACCACUGCAAUCUAUCCAGAUCCAACAGAGGCUCCAUCUUGGAUAUAGAGACGUCCCGACUGCUUCUUCCACUGAGCAGUUACACCAAGUAUCAGUGAGGGCAAUUAUAUUCACAGGGAAACGCAAGUUAAAACGACGAGCUACGACUACACACGUAUUAGCAUGGCCAAACUCCAGAACACUGACGAUGCUACAUGCUGGCGAGGAUGGGGAGCAACGGGAACUCUCACUCACUGCUGGUGGAAGUGCAAAAUGAUGCAGCCAUCAUGGAGGCCAGCUUGACAGUUCCUUACAAAACUAAACACACUCCUAGCAUACA